rnacentral:snRNA from 1 species
GUUCUCUUCGGCAGCACAUAUACUAAAAUUGGAAAGAUACAGAGAAGAUUAGCAUGGCCCCUGCUCAAGGAUGAUACGCAAAUUCGUGAAACGUUCCAUAUUUUU